GCGUUUAAACUAUUCGGGAAAAAAAAAGCAAAUCGAGCUCAAUUACAUCGACGAUAGUCUCAUCAGCGGAUGAUUGAAAUUAAAAAAAAAAUCUCUUCUUUCAAAACAUUUUAAAGCUAAAAAAAACAAAGAAAGAAAGAAAAAAGGGAUAAGAACAAGAAAGCAAGAGAGAGAGAGAGAGAGAGAGAAUUUGCUUUUGCUUUUGGUUGUCU
rnacentral:lncRNA from 1 species